AGUGAACGCUGGCGGUAGGCCUAACACAUGCAAGUCGAACGGCAGCACAGUAAGAGCUUGCUCUUACGGGUGGCGAGUGGCGGACGGGUGAGGAAUACAUCGGAAGCUACUUUUUCGUGGGGGAUAACGUAGGGAAAGUUACGCUAAUACCGCAUACGACCUACGGGUGAAAGCAGGGGAACUUAGGACCUUGCGCGAUUGAAUGAGGCGAUGUCGGAUUAGCUAGUGGGCGGGGUAAAGGCCCACCAAGGCGACGAUCCGUAGCUGGUAUGAGAGAAUGAUCAGCCCCACUGGAACUUAGACACGGUCCAGACUCCUACGGGAGGCAGCAGUGGAGAAUAUUGGACAAUGGGCGCAAGCCUGAUCCAGCCAUACCGCGUGGGUGAAGAAGGCCUUCGGGUUGUAAAACCCUUUUGUUGGGAAAGAAAAGCAGCAGGUUAAUCCCCCGCUGUUCUGACGUUACCCAAAGGAUAAGCACCGGCUAACUUCGUG
rnacentral:rRNA from 1 species